CUUAGUGGCGGACGGGUGAGUAACGCGUGGGUAACCUGCCUUACACAGGGGGAUAACACCUGGAAACAGGUGCUAAUACCGCAUAAGCGCACAGGGCCGCAUGGCCCGGUGUGAAAAACUCCGGUGGUGUAAGAUGGACCCGCGUCUGAUUAGCUUGUUGGCGGGGUAGAGGCCCACCAAGGCGACGAUCAGUAGCCGGCCUGAGAGGGUGGACGGCCACAUUGGGACUGAGACACGGCCCAAACUCCUACGGGAGGCAGCAG
rnacentral:rRNA from 1 species